GAACGCUAGCUACAGGCUUAACACAUGCAAGUCGAGGGGCAUCAGGAAGAAAGCUUGCUUUCUUUGCUGGCGACCGGCGCACGGGUGAGUAACACGUAUCCAACCUGCCCUUUACUCGGGGAUAGCCUUUCGAAAGAAAGAUUAAUACCCGAUAGCAUAAUGAUUCCGCAUGGUUUCAUUAUUAAAGGAUUCCGGUAAAGGAUGGGGAUGCGUUCCAUUAGGUUGUUGGUGAGGUAACGGCCCACCAAGCCUUCGAUGGAUAGGGGUUCUGAGAGGAAGGUCCCCCACAUUGGAACUGAGACACGGUCCAAACUCCUACGGGAGGCAGCAGUGAGGAAUAUUGGUCAAUGGGCGCUAGCCUGAACCAGCCAAGUAGCGUGAAGGAUGAAGGCUCUAUGGGUCGUAAACUUCUUUUAUAUAAGAAUAAAGUGCAGUAUGUAUACUGUUUUGUAUGUAUUAUAUGAAUAAGGAUCGGCUAACUCCGUGCCAGCAGCCGCGGUAAUACGGAGGAUCCGAGCGUUAUCCGGAUUUAUUGGGUUUAAAGGGAGCGUAGGUGGACUGGUAAGUCAGUUGUGAAAGUUUGCGGCUCAACCGUAAAAUUGCAGUUGAUACUGUCAGUCUUGAGUACAGUAGAGGUGGGCGGAAUUCGUGGUGUAGCGGUGAAAUGCUUAGAUAUCACGAAGAACUCCGAUUGCGAAGGCAGCUCACUGGACUGCAACUGACACUGAUGCUCGAAAGUGUGGGUAUCAAACAGGAUUAGAUACCCUGGUAGUCCACACAGUAAACGAUGAAUACUCGCUGUUUGCGAUAUACAGUAAGCGGCCAAGCGAAAGCAUUAAGUAUUCCACCUGGGGAGUACGCCGGCAACGGUGAAACUCAAAGGAAUUGACGGGGGCCCGCACAAGCGGAGGAACAUGUGGUUUAAUUCGAUGAUACGCGAGGAACCUUACCCGGGCUUAAAUUGCAGUGGAAUGAUGUGGAAACAUGUCAGUGAGCAAUCACCGCUGUGAAGGUGCUGCAUGGUUGUCGUCAGCUCGUGCCGUGAGGUGUCGGCUUAAGUGCCAUAACGAGCGCAACCCUUAUCUUUAGUUACUAACAGGUUAUGCUGAGGACUCUGGAGAGACUGCCGUCGUAAGAUGUGAGGAAGGUGGGGAUGACGUCAAAUCAGCACGGCCCUUACGUCCGGGGCUACACACGUGUUACAAUGGGGGGUACAGAAGGCAGCUAGCGGGUGACCGUAUGCUAAUCCCAAAAGCCUCUCUCAGUUCGGAUCGAAGUCUGCAACCCGACUUCGUGAAGCUGGAUUCGCUAGUAAUCGCGCAUCAGCCACGGCGCGGUGAAUACGUUCCCGGGCCUUGUACACACCGCCCGUCAAGCCAUGGGAGCCGGGGGUACCUGAAGUACGUAACCGCAAGGAUCGUCCUAGGGUAAAACUGGUGAAA
rnacentral:rRNA from 1 species